rnacentral:rRNA from 1 species
ACUCCUACGGGAGGUAGCAGUGGGGAAUAUUGCACAAUGGGCGCAAGCCUGAUGCAGCGACGCCGCGUGGGGGAUGACGGCCUUCGGGUUGUAAACUCCUUUCGCUAGGGACGAAGCUUUUUGUGACGGUACCUAGAUAAGAAGCACCGGCUAACUACGUGCCAGCAGCCGCGGUAAUAC